rnacentral:ncRNA from 1 species
AGCGAAGAAUGCUAUGUUUUUCUUAAUACUUUGUCUGUACCCAGAGAGCGUUCGACACGAUGUCGAACGCAGUCGCCACUGAGCCAGGACGGCGAAUUGGCGACGGUCUCGUGCGAUAACGACUGCUGAAAUCAAAGUAUUUAGAAAAACAAGCAUUUGUA